CAUUUUCGAAGCCUCUAGUGUUCUAGAACAGAGACUUGCACAGAGUAAACAGCCAGUGCCUAAAUGUAUUUACUGAGACACAUGUAGGGGUUGCCACCUAUCGACCACAGAGGUCAAACCUUCAAAAGACUGGCAGGCUCAAACGCUUGCGCCCAAAGAUCUGGGUCUUCUCGCCAGGUUGAGAGCGUGAAGAAGAGAAAACAUCCAGCUUGAGUCGGAAAUAAGAACGUAAGCAAGGAAGCUAAAAAUAAACAGCAAUGGGGGAUUUCCUCAAUUCAGGCAGGCUGUGACAGCACCAGGUGUCAUGCAGCUCUGUGAGGCGAAGAAGAGGAAUGCAUUUAGAAGGUUUGAUGAGGGGGGGAUUCUAUCACUGCCUGAAAAGCCUGAGGGAACAAGUGACAUGGGAUUUUCCCAGGACAGGAGGGAGAUAUUCCCUCUCCCCCUCCCCCCACCCCUUACCUCUCUGGGCAACGUGACUUCUUUCUUACUUCCGGGUACAAUCAGCUCACGCAUCCCUGAGGCAGUCCAGGCCGCUGAGGGUCACGCACAGUCUGCACCGGACACUCGGGCCCUCGGAGGGGCUGCUGGGAAUGGCGCGGCCCACAACGACUUCCGGUGUGGCUUCGGGGUGGCUUCCGGACACAGAGUCAUUACCCGGAUAUUAACAGAAUGACCUUUAGAAUCCGUAGUGGGUUUCAAAGCUCUUUAGCUGUAGAAGCCUCACAGAAUUUUUUUUUUUUAUUAUUUUUUAAGAUUUUAUUUAUUUAGUCAUGAGAGACACAGAAAGGAGAGAGAGAGAGGCAGGGACACAGGCAGAGGGAGAAGCAGGCUCCAUGCGGGGAGUCCGAUGUGGGCCUCCAACCCGGUCUCCAGGAUCCCGCCCUGGGCUGAAGGCAGGCGCUAAAUCCCUGGGCCAUCCCGGGCGGCCUACCUCACAGAAUUUUAUGCAAAGUGCAGGAGGUGAGACAGAAAGGCGACUCCUGGUUGAAGCCCAGGCCCAUGACUGGCUUCUGCCUCCUGCGCUGGCCAGAAGUCGUUUCCCAGAAAGCCUUGCGGGUCCCGUGGGGCGGGGCUGCUGCUGUCCUGCAGGCCCCCUGCUCGCUUGCCUCAGAGCGCCGUGGAGCCAUGGUUUGCUCUAGACCUCUCGCAUACACACCAGAUCGAGGCCCAAGGUGAUGUGAGUGGCACGACGUCAAGAAAUCAGUAACAAAGACUUUGGAAUCAGAGUCCUAUGUUCAAACUAUACAUCUGAGACUGAAUAAGGCUUGUGACCAUAGUGUGGCAGGAGCAAAGCUUGGGGUCUGAGAAGUAGUUUUGUCUGCUGGUGUUCCAAACCGCUUGGUUACAAGUUUGUUACCUGCAGUGGCAAAGAGGUCGCUGUGAUAUGAGCCAGAACUCAGAUACCUAUCCUACCUCAAGUGCCAAGUCCUUGUGCAUCCACCCUCCUGCAAGAUUCUGUUGUUUAAAAGUUGUCUGCUAUUGGACUUAAUGUUCAGCACCCCCUCUAGUGAGAUGACUUCUUACUGUUAGAGACCACCCACCUUCCUUCCCAUGCAAGUGUCCAAGCUGGAAGAAUUAGACAGUUGACUCUAGACCCUGGAUAUCUGUGUAUCCGAAUUGUACUUCAAGGUGUCAACAUAGAGAAAAAGAGGAGAGAAGUUAAUAGAAUUGUCUUGAUGAUUUAGGUCAAGACUAAUGACAAAAUUUUUAUGGUGAUGGUAAGCAAUGUUGUGCCCAGUAAGGAUGAAUGUAUCUUUUGAUGGAAUUCUCUAGAUUAUGAUAUAUUUCUCUUUGAAAUGCAGCCCAAGAUUGUAAAAGAGACAGGGGACUCAUAGAUUUCACACUGACAUCCUUCAUUUCUCUCUCACUGGAUAAAACAUUACAAGUGUUGAUGGGUUUUCAUUGGAUUUUCACAAAAUUUGAAGGUAGCAUCCACCUGGGGGAAGAGUGUCCUCAGUUGAAAAUUAGCAAAUGUGUUUCUUCAGCUACUGCUUGACAAGUUCCCAUUUAACCUUCCUUGUGUUAAAGAUCUGUUGUGACUAUUUUCUUGUUUAGCAGAUAACAUAAACACAAACUCUGAACAGAAGAGGAACCUCCCAUUGAUAGGCUAAACAGGCACUGUGCCAGAUGCCUGAUAUAUGGACAUUUUUAAAAGAGAAGUAUGGUCUAGUACAAGGUCAACAAACUUUUUCUGCCCAGGACCAGAUUUUGCGAAUCAAGAGGUAAAUCAAGGAUAUUAUACAGAGUGUUUCAUGGUGAUCCUGGGACAAUAGCAUUGGACAUCACUUGAGUUGGAGGAAGAUGAUUCUUAAAAAUCCAUAUUCUAGGUCCUGCCACAGACCCAAUGGAUCAGAAUCUACAAGGAACUUGAAAUCUACAUUUUGAGCAGCAUUCCAAUGAAUCUUAGAUACAUUGAAAUAAAAAAAAAAAAAGAUAUUUUUUUCCUUGAGCACUGAAGUCUGGGGAUAGAAAGAGCUGGCACUCUGGA